rnacentral:rRNA from 1 species
GCCAGACUCCUACGGGAGGCAGCAGUGGGGAAUAUUGCACAAUGGGGGAAACCCUGAUGCAGCGACGCCGCGUGAGCGAAGAAGUACCUCGGUAUGUAAAGCUCUAUCAGCAGGGAAGAAGAUGACGGUACCUGACCAAGAAGCUCCGGCUAAAUACGUGCCAGCAGCCGCGGUAAUACGUAUGGAGCAAGCGUUAUCCGGAUUUACUGGGUGUAAAGGGAGCGCAGGCGGCCUUGCAAGUCUGAUGUGAAAGCCCGGGGCUCAACCCCGGGACUGCAUUUGGAACUGUGUCGCUAGAGUGUCGGAGAGGCAGGCGGAAUUCCUAGUGUAGCGGUGAAAUGCGUAGAUAUUAGGAGGAGCACCAGUGGCGAAGGCGGCCUGCUGGACGACAACUGACGGUGAGGCGCGAAAGCGUGGGGAGCAAACAGGAUUAGAUACCCCGGUAU